GACAGAGGAUGCAAACGUUGCUCGGAGUUACUGGGCGUAAAGCGCGCGCAGGUGGCCUGAUAAGUCAGGUGUGAAAUCCCGGGGCUCAACCUCGGAAGUGCACAUGAUACUGUCGGGCUUGAGUACUGGAGAGGAGAGCGGAAUUCCCGGUGUAGAGGUGAAAUUCGUAGAUAUCGGGAGGAACACCAGUGGCGAAGGCGGCUCUUUGGACAGAUACUGACACUGAGGCGCGAAAGCGUGGGAAGCAAACAGG
rnacentral:rRNA from 1 species